UGGGGAAUCUUGGACAAUGGGCGCAAGCCUGAUCCAGCCAUGCCGCGUGGAUGAUGAAGGCCUUAGGGUUGUAAAAUCCUUUCGUCGGGGACGAUAAUGACGGUACCCGAAGAAGAAGCUCCGGCUAACUUCGUGCCAGCAGCCGCGGUAAUACGAAGGGGGCUAGCGUUGUUCGGAUUUACUGGGCGUAAAGCGCGUGUAGGCGGGUCGUUAAGUUGGGGGUGAAAUCCCGAGGCUCAACCUCGGAACUGCCUUCAAAACUGGCGACCUGGAGCAAAGAAGAGGCGAGUGGAAUUGCGAGUGUAGAGGUGAAAUUCGUAGAUAUUCGCAGGAACACCAGUGGCGAAGGCGACUCGCUGGUCUUUUGCUGACGCUGAGACGCGAAAGCGUGGGGAGCAAACAGGAUUAGAUACCCCCGUAGUCC
rnacentral:rRNA from 1 species